GCGCCUGUAGCUCAACGGUAGAGCACGGAGCUUAUACCUCCGCGGUUCUAGGUUCAAAUCCUAGCAGGCGCACCA
rnacentral:tRNA from 6 species